rnacentral:rRNA from 1 species
GAGUUUGAUCUUGGCUCAGAUUGAACGCUGGCGGCAUGCCUUACACAUGCAAGUCGAACGGCAGCACGGGAGCUUGCUCCUGGUGGCGAGUGGCGAACGGGUGAGUAAUGCAUCGGAACGUAUCCUGGAGUGGGGGAUAACGUAGCGAAAGUUACGCUAAUACCGCAUAUUCUGUGAGCAGGAGAGCGGGGGACCUUCGGGCCUCGCGCUCUUGGAGCGGCCGAUGUCGGAUUAGCUAGUUGGUGAGGUAAAGGCUCACCAAGGCGACGAUCCGUAGCAGGUCUGAGAGGAUGAUCUGCCACACUGGAACUGAGACACGGUCCAGACUCCUACGGGAGGCAGCAGUGGGGAAUUUUGGACAAUGGGGGCAACCCUGAUCCAGCCAUGCCGCGUGAGUGAAGAAGGCCU